GCAGUCGUGGCCGAGUGGUUAAGUCGAUGGACUAGAAAUCCAUUGGCGCACAGGAUCGAAUCCGGUCGGCUGGG
rfam:Ixodes scapularis strain Wikel colony gcontig_1108379558257, whole genome shotgun sequence.